rnacentral:rRNA from 1 species
ACUACUAUGUGUGAAUCAUCGAAUCUUUGAACGCAUAUUGCACUGACAGUAAUUUGUCAGUAUACCUGUUUGAGUAUCAUCCGCCUCUCACCGACGCGGUGCUGCUGAAAAGCGCGCCCGUCCGUGGACUUGAGUGAUCAGACGUUGCAAGACGGCUGUCACUUUAAACGCAGGCAUCGUGGUCGUUUCGAGCCAUCAGUGAUAGUGUCCUUGCCGGUCGUCAGACUGGCCAAGUGUCUUGUUUCUGGUCGGCACAUAUCGAAGUGGCCGCGUGACAUGAUGUUAAAUUAGUGGGCGCGUCGUCUGACGCGUGACCAUCUAACCGUUGAUCUCAAAUCAAGUAAGAUUACCCGCUGAACUUAAGCAUAUCAAUAAGCGGAGG